rnacentral:rRNA from 1 species
UGCGUAAGAUUAGCUUGUUGGUGAGGUAAAGGCUCACCAAGGCGACGAUCUUUAGCGGGUCUGAGAGGACGAUCCGCCACAUUGGGACUGAGACACGGCCCAGACUCCUACGGGAGGCAGCAGUGGGGAAUAUUGGACAAUGGGCGCAAGCCUGAUCCAGCCAUACCGCGUGUGUGAAGAAGGCCCUAGGGUUGUAAAGCACUUUAAGUUGGGAAGAAAAGUUAUUGGUUAAUACCCAAUAACCGUGACAUUACCAUCAGAAUAAGGACCGGCUAAUUCCGUGCCAGCAGCCGCGGUAAUACGGAAGGUCCAAGCGUUAAUCGGAAUUACUGGGCGUAAAGCGCGCGUAGGUGGUUUAUUAAGUUGGAUGUGAAAUCCCCGGGCUCAACCUGGGAACUGCAUCCAAAACUGAUUCACUAGAGUACGAUAGAGGGAGGUAGAAUUCACAGUGUAGCGGUGGAAUGCGUAGAUAUUGUGAAGAAUACCAAUGGCGAAGGCAGCCUCCUGGAUCUGUACUGACACUGAGGUGCGAAAGCGUGGGUAGCGAACAGGAUUAGAUACCCUGGUAGUCCACGCCGUAAACGAUGUCAACUAGCUGUUGGAAAACUAUGUUUUUCAGUGGCGCAGCUAACGUAGUAAGUUGACCGCCUGGGGAGUACGGCCGCAAGGCUAAAACUCAAAUGAAUUGACGGGGACCCGCACAAGCGGUGGAGCAUGUGGUUUAAUUCGAUGCAACGCGAAAAACCUUACCUAUACUUGACAUACUUGGAAUGCUUUGUAAUGAAGCAGUGCCUUCGGGAGCCAAGAUACAGGUGCUGCAUGGCUGUCGUCAGCUCGUGUCGUGAGAUGUUCCGUUAAGUCGGAUAACGAGCGCAACCCUUA